rnacentral:rRNA from 1 species
UGGCAGUCAGAGGCGAUGAAAGACGUGAUAGCCUGCGAAAAGCUCCGGGGAGGCGGCAAAUAUCCUUUGAUCCGGAGAUGUCUGAAUGGGGGAACCCACCUACUUUAAGGUAGGUAUUGCAACAUGAAUACAUAGUGUUGCAAGGCGAACGAGGGGAAGUGAAACAUCUCAGUACCCUUAGGAAAAGAAAUCAAUUGAGAUUCCCUCAGUAGCGGCGAGCGAACGGGGAUCAGCCCAUUAAGUUAUGUGUGUUUUAGUGGAACGCUCUGGGAAGUGCGAACGUAGAGGGUGAUAUUCCCGUACACGAAAGGGCACACAUAAUGAUGACGAGUAGGGCGAGGCACGUGAAACCUUGUCUGAAUAUGGGGGGACCAUCCUCCAAGGCUAAAUACUCCUGACUGACCGAUAGUGAACCAGUACCGUGAGGGAAAGGCGAAAAGAACCCCUGUGAGGGGAGUGAAAUAGAUCCUGAAACCGCAUGCAUACAAGCAGUGGGAGCACCUUCGUGGUGUGACUGCGUACCUUUUGUAUAAUGGGUCAGCGACUUAUAUUCAGUAGCGAGGUUAACCGUAUAGGGGAGCCGUAGAGAAAUCGAGUCUUAAUAGGGCGUUUAGUUGCUGGGUAUAGACCCGAAACCAGGCGAUCUAUCCAUGAGCAGGUUGAAGGUUGGGUAACACUAACUGGAGGACCGAACCCACUGUCGUUGAAAAGCCAGGGGAUGACUUGUGGAUAGGGGUGAAAGGCUAAUCAAGCCUGGUGAUAGCUGGUUCUCCCCGAAAGCUAUUUAGGUAGCGCCUCGGACGAAUACCAUAGGGGGUAGAGCACUGUUUCGGCUAGGGGGUCAUCCCGACUUACCAAACCGAUGCAAACUCCGAAUACCUAUGAGUACUAUCCGGGAGACAGACUGCGGGUGCUAACGUCCGUAGUCAAGAGGAAAACAAUCCAGACCGCCAGCUAAGGCCCCAAAAUCAUAGUUAAGUGGGAAACGAUGUGGGAAGGCAUAGACAGCUAGGAGGUUGGCUUAGAAGCAGCCACCCUUUAAAGAAAGCGUAAUAGCUCACUAGUCGAGUCGGCCUGCGCGGAAGAUGUAACGGGGCUAAAACUAUGUGCCGAAGCUGCGGAUGUAUACUUUGUAUACGUGGUAGGGGAGCGUUCUGUAAGCCGAUGAAGGUGUGUUGAGAAGCAUGCUGGAGGUAUCAGAAGUGCGAAUGCUGACGUGAGUAACGACAAAACGGGUGAAAAACCCGUUCGCCGAAAGACCAAGGGUUCCAGUCCAACGUUAAUCGGGGCUGGGUGAGUCGACCCCUAAGGCGAGGCCGAAAGGCGUAGUCGAUGGGAAAAUGGUUAAUAUUCCAUUACUUCUGUGUAAUGCGAUGAGAGGACGGAGAAGGCUAAAUCAGCCUGGCGUUGGUUGUCCAGGUGAAAGGAUGUAGGCAUGUAUCUUAGGCAAAUCCGGGGUACUCUAUGCUGAGAUCUGAUAGCAAGCUGUACUUGUACAGCGAAGUGGUUGAUGCCAUGCUUCCAGGAAAAGUCUCUAAGCUUCAGUUACACAGGAAUCGUACCCGAAACCGACACAGGUGGUCAGGUCGAGUAGACCAAGGCGCUUGAGAGAACUCUGCUGAAGGAACUAGGCAAAAUGGUACCGUAACUUCGGGAGAAGGUACGCUGUUGUUGGUGAUGGAACUCGCUUCCUGAGCUGACGACAGCCGCAGAAACCAGGCCGCUGCAACUGUUUAUUAAAAACAUAGCACUCUGCAAACACGAAAGUGGACGUAUAGGGUGUGAUGCCUGCCCGGUGCUGGAAGGUUAAUUGAUGGGGUUAGCGUAAGCGAAGCUCUUGAUCGAAGCCCCAGUAAACGGCGGCCGUAACUAUAACGGUCCUAAGGUAGCGAAAUUCCUUGUCGGGUAAGUUCCGACCUGCACGAAUGGCAUAAUGAUGGCGGCGCUGUCUCCAGCAGAGGCUCAGUGAAAUCGAAAUCGCUGUGAAGAUGCAGUGUACCCGCGGCUAGACGGAAAGACCCCGUGAACCUUUACUGCAGCUUGACACUGAACUUUGACCUUACUUGUGUAGGAUAGGUGGGAGGCUUUGAAGCUGGAACGCUAGUUCCAGUGGAGCCGUCCUUGAAAUACCACCCUGGUAAUGUUGAGGUUCUAACUCUGUCCCGUGAUCCGGGACGAGGACCGUGUCUGGUGGGUAGUUUGACUGGGGCGGUCUCCUCCUAAAGAGUAACGGAGGAGUACGAAGGUGCGCUCAGCGUGGUCGGAAAUCACGCGUAGAGUAUAAAGGCAAAAGCGCGCUUAACUGCGAGACCCACAAGUCGAGCAGGUACGAAAGUAGGUCUUAGUGAUCCGGUGGUUCUGUAUGGAAGGGCCAUCGCUCAACGGAUAAAAGGUACUCUGGGGAUAACAGGCUGAUACCGCCCAAGAGUUCAUAUCGACGGCGGUGUUUGGCACCUCGAUGUCGGCUCAUCUCAUCCUGGGGCUGAAGCAGGUCCCAAGGGUAUGGCUGUUCGCCAUUUAAAGAGGUACGCGAGCUGGGUUUAGAACGUCGUGAGACAGUUCGGUCCCUAUCUACCGUGGGCGCUGGAAAUUUGAGAGGAUCUGCUCCUAGUACGAGAGGACCAGAGUGGACGAACCUCUGGUGUACCGGUUGUGACGCCAGUCGCAUCGCCGGGUAGCUAUGUUCGGAAGGGAUAACCGCUGAAAGCAUCUAAGCGGGAAGCCUACCUCAAGAUAAGAUUUCCCUAGGACUUUAUGUCCUCUAAAGAGCCGUUCGAGACUAGGACGUUGAUAGGUUGGAUGUGGAAGCAUAGUGAUAUGUGAAGCUGACCAAUACUAAUUGCUCGUGAGGCUUGACUAUACAACACCC